UGUGACCAACAGAGUGUGACAGGAGGAGUUCCAUCAGUCCGUCUGGGUUUCAGCCUGGAAAGUCCGGUGGAUUUGGCGGAGCAUCUGAUCCUCCCAGGAGACCUCCAGCGGGUAGAUUGGAGGUGAGACGUUUCUCGUAACUGUGGGAGAAAGAAGAGUGAGAAGAGAAGGAAAGAUCACACGACUAUCCAUGAUGCCCCCCUGACGUUUCGCGGCAAGACAGACGCAGCAGCAGCAGCCAGAAUGGAGACGCUAAAGAGGAAGUUUAACUGAAGAUCUCCUGAGUACAUCAUGGCUCUGCCAGGAAGAAGAAAGAAACACAGUUACACACAACACCAAACAUCAAGGGGAACAAAUACAGUUCUAUACAAAUACCAGAAAAGGGAAAUCAUGUAAAUGCUGGGAGAUGAAUUCUGUGGAGUCGAGAGAAACAAGAUGAAGAGGCUAG